AUUGAACGCGGGCGGCAGGCUUAACACAUGCAAGUCGAACGAGUGGCGGACGGGUGAGUAAUGGCUGGGAAUCUAGCAUAUGGAGGGGGCUAACUACGGGACACUGGAGUUAAUACCGCGUACCAUAGGAUGAGCCCAAGUGGGAUUAGGUAGUUGGUGAGGUAAAGGCUCACCAAGCCGAUGAUCUCUAGCUGGUCUGAGAGGAUGACCAGCCACACUACGACUGCGUCCCGGACUGUCCUCCUUCGUGAGGCAUCCAUCGGGAAUAUCGCCCAAUGGGGUCAUCCUCCCCCAGCCAUGCCGCUUGAAUGAAGACGGCCUGCGAUUUGUAAAGUACUUUCGGUAGCGAGGCGUUAACUACGGAAGAAGCCCCGGCUCACUCCGUGCCAGCCGCCGCGGUAAUAC
rnacentral:rRNA from 1 species